GGAUGAGAAGAACUCCUUCAACUUGGAGCAUGGAGAUGUAAUCAGAGUUAAUGCUGGUUCAACAAUCUACAUGCUCAACAGGGAUAACAAUGAAAGGUUCUUUGUUUACGUGCUAGCCCAGGCUGUCAAUACCCCUGGCCAAUUCCAGGUAAUAAUAGUAGUAUUAUAUGUUGCGUGACAAAACCAAAUUAUUCUCAACAAUUAGUUUAAAUUUUGGGGCUAUUGCUUAUGAGUAUUUCUAUCUUCAUUAGUUAGAAUUAGUCAAAUCAGGACUUGGUGUAGAAGUAUUCAAGAUAACAGCCUCCAAAAUUUUCACUUUGAGAGGAGUUUUAAAGUAACUUCAAAAAGUUAUUGGGACGGAGAUAUUUUAUAAUUGUUCAAUAUUUCUAGUUUCACCUUUAAAAUUGGUCAACUGAUAUUAGAUGCUACCUACAAUUUGUGAAUACUGAUGUAGUUUAUCUUGGUUCAGGAAUUCUUCAGUGCUGGAGGUCAGAAUCCAGAAUCCUUCUACAGAGCUUUCAGCAGCGAUAUCCUGGAGACUGCUUUCAAUGUAAGCCCGCUUAAUUGAUAGGAGUAUUCAAUUAUUUAAUAUUUCACUCGAUCAUUUUUAUUCUCAGAGUGUAUUUUGUUUAUUAUUAUUCAUUAGACCCCAAGGGACAGGUUAGAGAGGCUAUUUGGGCAACAAAAACAGGGGAUAGUAAUCAAAGCAUCUGAAGAGCAAAUUAGAGCAAUAAGCGAACACGCUUCGCGCUCCACUAAGCAACAAACUAAGGGUCAGACAACAGGUCCUUUUAAUCCGUUGAAAGAACGCCCAUUAAUCAGUAACAAAUUUGGGAAGUUCUUUGAAGCAACUCCAGACAGAUUUGAACAGUUGAGGGAUUUGGAUGCUGCUGUUGCUUUCAUGAACAUCAACCAUGUAAGGCUUUUCAUAGUUAACUAAUCAAAAUAAUGUAAUCUAUAAUUACUUAUCAAUAUCAAUGUGUUUUAGCCAGUUCUAGAACGUUAUUUAGACUUUUACUAUUUCAUCUGUUAUGGUUUAGUUACCUGCAACUACCCAAUAACAUUCAAAUUUAACAGUGUCAACCCCAAAUUUUGUUUUAGUUCUUAGUGAAUUGUAAGAUAAAAUUUGAAACAUAAUUGCAGGGUGGAAUGGUACUACCAUACUACAAUACAAGGUCAACAAGGUUGGCAAUGGUUGUAGAAGGAACUGGGCGUUUUGAAAUGGCAUGUCCUCAUCUUGGUACCCAAAGCCAGAGGCAAGGGUCCCGUGGAGGAAGGAGAGAACAAGAAUCAGAAGAACAAGAAGGUGGAGAUGUCCAUUACCAGAAAGUUCGUGGAACUUUAUCAGCUGGUGAUGUUUUAGUUGUCCCUGCCGGCCAUCCUAUUACCUUUAUAGCCACUGGAGGUUCAAAUCUCAGGAUUGUUGGUUUCGGCGUCAAUGCUCAUAACAACAGAAAGAACUUCCUUGCAGGUAUAUCAGUUUCCUCUUAUUUUACAGUAUUUGUGUAUUGACGUUGUGAAAUUUUACGGUACUAGUGUAUUUUAACAUGUUGUGAGUGUGUCUAAAAUUCUUUGGCUGGUUUGAAAUUUUAGGACAACAAAACAUAUGGAGAAAUGUGGACAGAGAGGCCAAGGAGAUUUCAUUCAAUAUGCCUGGAAAGGAGGUAGAAGAAAUCUUGCAGAGGCAAGAUCAAUCUUUCUUUGUGGCAGGACCAGAACAGCGCGGCCAGCGGCAGAGGGAGAGGGGUGAAGAAGGAAGAGGACAACAGUAUCUGUCUUCAAUUUGGGACUUCGUUUUCUAAGUUGUAGAUUUGCACGAGGCACUAGUAAUGAUGCAGCUGUGAGAACCGAGAGCUUUGUGAGUAAAUAAAUAAAGACUCUCAGAGUAGUACUGAUAUAACUACUACAAAUAAAUGUGGAUGUGGGUCUUCCUUCUAAGCUAAGGUUGUAAAUGUUUUUGGCUUCUUGUAGUUCUUUAUCAUGUGCUAUGUAAGUUAUGUGAAAUAUAAAUAAAACUCCCCUUUUAACCCUAAAGAAUGAGUACCUUGCUCUGAGCUCCUCGUAUUCCUUUCUUUUCGGGAAAAUGUGUUGGAAAAUCGCGUGAUUUAUAGUUAGAUAUGUAUAUACUACAUGGGAAAAGAAGAUUUUGACUUCCGUAUGGGAAAAGAAGAUUUUGACUUCGGUAUGGGAAAAGAAGAUUUUGACUUCCUUUACGGAAGUAACAAAGUCACAAGAAGUAACUGGAAAAUGAAAUUACUACCUAUAUCAAAUAGGAGCAUCAACUUCAGAGCACAUGAACAUGGCUUCUCCAAUUCAAUAUUAAUCACCAAAAUUUUGCAUAUAAUAGUCUCCCACGGCAAACAAAUCGAAGAGAGUUUGGAAACAGUUUUGUUUCUGAAUGCGCAACGUUGUUUCUGGUUUUUCUGUUUAACUUUUACUAGUCCUUAAACUUUCACAACUUUCAGGAAUCAAAAUUAAUUCUCCCUUCAUUUUAUAUGGUACUUUUCUUUUGGGUCUCUUUAGAAAAGAUUGAUACUUUCUUAUUUGCAUCUAAUAAAAAUAUAUCAUGUCAUAUGUUUUUACCCUUAAAAAAACGUAUAGCAAUUAAAUUUAUACGCGGGUUUAAGAAUAUGUGAAUUAAUUCAAUAUUAGUGAUUAAUGACAUUAGAUUAAGUAAAUGAAAGACGUAAUAAAUGGUCAAACCAACGAUAAAAGUGAUUCCUGGCUCGGUUAAUGGCUCAAUGAGGAACCUGCCUUCAAUUCCGAGCUUGUGUCUAUGAAGAACUUAUGGACAAAAAUAAGAACUUUGAAUAAUAGAGAAAAUAGAAGUAAAUUGCCUUGGUAUGCGUGUUGCAAUGUCCUUGAUAAAUACUCCUUCCGUUUUAUAUUAUAUGAGGUAGUUUGACUCGGCACGGAGUUUAAGAAAAAAGAAUAAGGCUUUUGAAACUUGUGGUCUUAAAAGCUUAAGGUGUAAAGUUUGUGGGGCCAUGAUAUUUGUGUAGCUAUAAAAGCUUCUCAUUAAGGGUAAAUGAGUUAAAUGAAAGAGUUUAAAGUUGAAUUAUUUCCAAAUUCAGAAGUGUGUCAUUUGUUUUGAAACAGACUAAAAAGGAAAGUACCUCAUUUAAUAUGAAAUUGAGGAAGUAAUAAGCCUCCCCUUUAUAUUUUAGGGGAGUUUUACCCUAAGUACACUCCUAAGAAAGGUAAAAAUCUUCCAUUUCGCUAAUCACUUAUUUUCUGUCGAUACGUGCCAAGAUUCACGAUGUGAUAUCCGGUUGGGCACGGACAUCACGGCCCUUUUGUUAGUCGUGUGCGGUUGUUUGGUAAUGCUCUCUGAGGUCUUGAGGCUCGAACCGGUCCCGGGGGACGUGAUCCCGAGGCCCCCGAGGGCAGGUGUGUUGCUCGAGCCCCGAUACAAUAGGCUCCUUGUUCUGACUCCAACUUCUUAAGGUCAUGCUCCUGCUCCGUUUGCCUCAUCAGGAAAUCGAGGUGCUUAGUGGGCUUGAUUAUUUCCCCUCAUUUCUCAAAGAGUAGGCUUGCCGAAGCGAUGGAAAUGACAGAUGACUCUGGUUCUUUCCUUCGUACGUUACGACAAGGGAACCAAAAUGUCCCAUCAGUCGCGUCAUUCUGACUUCGGACACAUGUCACUCAUCGACAGGUUGCCCCCGAAUGUGAAGUGUCGGUUGUUUCCAUAUAAAAGCUUCCUCAUUUGUUCUAUUUCUACUUUUCGACUAAAUUACUACCUUCGAGCUUUCCAGCCAUCAUCAAACUUUCUUCAAACCUUCAUAUCUUCGUCCUUGUUCUUUAAUUUCCAUAGGAAUUACUAGAUUUUUCCUAUAUCUUCAUACUCUGUUCUUUAUCUCCAAAACUUUGCAUUCUUUCCUCAAAUUUUCAAAACACUCCCCCAGAUGACAAUGGCUAAAACAUCGAAAAUCGUUCCUCAACAAGUUGCCUCUUCAUCUUCUCAAGCGGUCGCUGGUACUGAAGUGGUUGCCCUUGAAACAGUUUCCCCAGUUGUGGUUGCUAAUGAAUCGGCCGCUGAGUCUCCCUUGACAGUGUUCAUUCCCGGGGGUCCUAGGACGCCAUUACUACUCACGUAGAGGGGUAUUUAAGUGUUUACACUUAUCCCUUCACACUGGGCACAAUGGACCCCAUCAUUCUAGUUUUGCAAGAGGUACGAGGUGUGCCUCCGCUACUUCGUAAACAAGAUCGAGUCUCGUCGGUUCACGAUCGACCACCUACUCCGAUUAUACAGUCCCUGAAUGUUUCGAGGGGAACUGAUCGAGCUUACUCGUCGGGUCAGCAAGGCCCCCUUCUCAAGCAUCGAUGAAGACCGAGAACUGAGCUGGCAGAGAUGCUUCGUCCGAGUACGGGACCAGAAAGAGGUAUCGGACCUAAGUCGGGAGCAUACCGACUUGGUUGAAAAGGUAAAGGUCUUCAAAGUUAGAAACGAGGAACUAGUCACAGUGGCUAACGACCAAACCUCGCAGGUCCAGCAAAAUAUCGACCAGAUUGACCAGCUUCGAAAGGAGAUGGAUGAGAUCCAAGCUAUGGCCGACGGGUGGAAGAACAAAAUGGAUCUGCAAGGAAACCGACCAGACAAAGCUUUCUUCGGUAGAAGUUCAACUCCGGGUGGCGAAGGAGAAGGCUGAUACACGGGCUCAGCAAAAUGAGGACCUCCAAGCACGACUGGGCUCGGCCAUCGCUGAACAGGAUGCCCUUGGUUAGGAUCUCGAAACAACGAGGUCCAGGUCAGAAGCAAUCUCGACUGAUGCUAACGAAAUAGUGGCUCAAUACAAGGCCGAUGUUGAAGCAAACGAGGCCACCUAAAGACUACUGCUGAGUACGUGAGGCGGCUAUCCCGAAGGGAGACCCUCGAAGAAAUUCAUGCCAGAGGCUUCAUCAUAUAUGCCGAGAUUGAGGAGGCAAAUAGACUUGAGUUCGAGGCCAAGAAGCUAGCUGAACCACGAGGUGAAGAGGGCUUCGAGGGCUCUGAAGAACCCAAAGGCCCCGAUGGUUCUGGUAAUGAGUCGGGUUCCGGUGAACAUCAGGCGUAGAUGCCUUAGGAUUUUUUUUUGUUUUUGUAUCCUGUAUAUAUAUUUUGUUGAGGCCGUUUUUGUUGGGCCUUUGUAAAGAUAUUCCAGAAUAUAUAAAAUUUUCUCCUUUGGAAAUUUCAAUUGUUUUAGCAUCUUUUCAUGUUCUUUAUUCUUGCAAAUAUAUUUAAUGCCUUAGCAUAGAAUCUAAUGUAGUAAUAAGUCGUUUGUUUUUCGGAGGUUCAAUCAGAACUUGGCCUCGAUACAAUUUUUUAUUUGCUUGAUGUGUUGAAAACUCGAAGCGACCGGAAUUGUUUUGAGAAUGUUUAGGUCUUCUUAGACGAUGCUUUUGUCGAGGGUAACCUUUUGGCAGGUUUUGAAUUUUUAUUGAAGGCCUUAUGAUUUGAUUUCGGGCUUCGGACGUCUCCAAGCUAUUUCUUACCAUGGUCGUAGCCUUUUGGGUUUAGGCACUACCUAAUAGAUUUUGUGCCUCCGGGAUCUGAUAGCCCGAGAUGCCCGAACUUAUUUUGGAUGAUAGUCCCAGAGAGGGGAUAGCCCUUGGGCUCGAUAGUCCCUAAGUAGGGAUGGCCCGUAGGCUCGAUGCUUUGCAAGGCAUGCUUUCUUUUAUUUCUGUGUGUAAAGUACAUGAACUAAAGCGAGUAAAAGCUUGUAUUAUGGCUACAAUGUCCUAUGCGGGCAUGGUUCAUUUAACUAUUUGGCCCUUAAAAUGAAUCCUAACCACCAAGCCUAAGCUGUUCAAAUACAAAAUUCCCUUCUUUCCUUGCUAAGAAGUCUAACCCGAGGGUGAUGGCCCCCCGUAUUUGAGGUCGACCAUUGAGUGGGCUCGGAUACUAUUAAUGCAACCAUUAACUCCAAUUUUAAACCGAUCUUUGAAUCUAUAUUAGCACGAUCCACUGUUGCCUCAUUAAAAACCUUGCCAGAAAACCAAUUUGGGACAAAAUCGGUCCAAGGGAAAAAGAGUAUAAUGCGUGCUUCCAGACCUAAUAGUCAUACUUUCCCUUGGCCAUUGCCUGCAAGCGUUAGUUUGAUUCAUAAUAUUGAAAAUGGGGUAACUGAAAACGUACCUUAGCAAUACUAUCGUCUCAAGUGUGUCACGUUUCAGUUGUUUGGUAGUUGUGCACCAUUUCCUGCUUCGAGCUUAUACGAGCCCUUGCCAGUAAUUCCAAUGACUCAAUAUGAUCCUUCCCAGUUCGGCCCCAGCUUUCCAUUGUUUGGGUUCCGGGUAUGCAGUGUAACUUUCCUUAUUACCAAGUCCCUAAUUUUGAAGUGUUGGAGGCUGGCUCUUCAGUUGUAAUACCUUUCUAUUCGCUUCUUCUGGGCAGCCAACCGGACUAGGGCGGCCUCUCGCCUUUCAUCUAGUAAUUCUAGGCUCGUACUCCUAGCCUCACCAUUUGAUUCUUUGGUCGCAUAUCAAAACUUGAGGCUUGGUUCUCCCACUUUGACCGGUAUUAAUGCUUCAGCACCAUAGACCAACGAAAAGGGGGUGGUUCUGAUGCUGGAUUUUGAAGUUGUAUGAUAAGCCCACUAGACCUCGGGCAUAAUUUCCUUCCACUUUCCUUUGCAUUGGUAAGCCGUUUUCUUUAAGAUUUGGAGUAUGGUCUUGUUUGUGAAUUCUGCUUGUCCAUUCCCACUAGGGUGAUCGGGGUGGAUAGAAUUUUUUGAUCUUAUGGUUUUCGAAAAAUUUGCUUACCUUGCUGCCGAUGAAUUGCUUUCCACUAUCGCACAUGAUCUCAGCCGGUAUCCUGAACCGGCAUAUUAUGUGGUCUCAAAUAAAAUCAAUGACUUCUUUUUCUCGAACUUUCUCGAACACUUGAGUUCCGACCCAUUUAGAAAAAUAGUCAGUCAUAAACAAUAUGAAUUGAGCCUUACCAGGUGCCUAUGGUAGGGGUCCAACUAUGUCCAUUCCCCAUUUCAUGAACGAUGACAGGGAUAAUACCGAGUGUAAUAGCUCCCCUGGUUGAUGGAUCAUCGAUGCAUGUCCCUGACAACUAUCACACCUUCUUACGAAGUAUUUUGCAUCCUUCUCCAUAUCGAUCCAUUAGUAGCCUGCCCUAAUUAUCUUCCGAACCAAAGAUUCUGCCCCCAAAUAGUUUCCGCAUGUACCCUCGUAAACUUUUCUAAAGAUGUAUUCGGUAUCUCCUGGCCCCAAGCAUACGGAGAGCGAGACAUCGAACGUUCUUCUGUAUAGAAUACCUUCAGACAGGCUAAACCUGGACGCAUUUGUGCGUAGAGCUCUGGAUUCUUUAGGGUCCAAGGGUAGCUUCCCAGUCUUGAAGUAGUCUAUGUACUUGUUUCUCCAAUCCCAAGUUAAAAUUAGUGAAUUUAUUUCGGCGUGGCCUUCUUCCGUUACCGGUUUUAUGAGCUGCACGAUUAUUCCUGAGUUGAAGUCAUCGUCAUCAACCGAUGACCCCAAGUUGGCCACAUCUUCGGCCUCGAUAUUUUGAUCUUGGGGUACAUGCUAAAGUAUCCAUUCCUUGAAUUGAUGCAGCGCCACCUGCAAUUUGUCCAAAUACCUCCGCAUUCAUUCCUCCCUUACUUCAAAAGUUCGAUUGACUUGGUUUACCAUAAGGAGGGAUUCGCAUUUAGCUUUUAUCACCUCAGCCCCAAGACCUUUGCCCGAUUUGAGACCUGCAAUCACGGCCUCAUAUUCGGCCUCAUUGUUAGUCAAUUUUACAGUUCGAAUAGACUGCCUGAUUAUGUUUCCUGUAGGCGGCUUCAAUUUGAUGUCAAGUCCGGGCCUCUUUGUAUUUGAAGCCAUCCGUAAAGAGGGUCCAGAUCCCCGAGGAAGUCCCCAAGUUCAAUAACAAUUCCUUUUCGACUUCGGGCAGCAAGGCCGGUGUAAAGUCGGCCACAAAAUCUGCCAAAAUUUGUGAUUUGAUGGUGGUUUGGGGUCAAUAUUUGAUAUUGUACCCGCUAAUUUUGAUGACCAUUUGGUCAGCCGACCCGAGAGCUCGGGUUUAUGAAUAAUAUUCUUUAGCGGGUAAGAGGUUAUGACACAUAUAGGGUGGCAUUGACAGUAUGGUUUCAACUUUCUGGAGGCGCUUAGCAAAGAGAGCGCCAAUUUUUCCAUGUAAGGAUACCUUGUUUCGGCCUCGCCUAGAGUUCUACUAACAUAAUAAACAGGAAAUUGUGUACCUUCCUCUUCUCGUACUAGGACUCCACUUUCCGCCACUUCGGGCACCGCUAAAUAAAGGUAUUGUUGUUCAUCCACCUUCAGGGUAUGGAGUAGGGGUGGAUUCGAAAGGUAUCGUUUGAGUUCUCCCAAGGCUUGCUAGCACUCCGAUGUCCAAGAGAAGUUGUUCUUCUUUUUCAGUAGUGAGAAGAAUCAUGGCUUUUUGCCAGAGGACCUCGAUAUGAACAGGCCUAGUGCGGCCAUACGCUCGGUUAGCCUCUGCACAGCCUUAACAUUAUCCACCACGGUAAUAUCUUAUAUGGCUUUGAUUUUAUUAGGAUUAAUCUUGAUCCCCCGGUUGGAUACCAUGAACCCCAGGAACUUUCUGGAUCCGACCCCGAACGCGCAUUUUUCUAGGUUGAGCUUCAUAUUGUAUCUUCUUAAUAUGCUGAAGGUUUCCUGCAAAUGUUUCAAAUGGUCCUCUGUUUGCAAGGACUUAACUAGCAUGUCGUCAAUAUAAACUUCCAUUGAUUUUUCUAUUUGUUCUUCGAACAUCAGGUUUACUAGGUGUUUAUAAGUGGCACCGAUAUUUGUUAGUCCGAACGGCAUUACGUCAUAAUAAUAGGUGCUGAAAUUAGUGAUAAAAGAAGUUUUUUCUUGAUCGCCUAGGUCCAACUGGAUUUGGUUGUACCCGGAAUAGGCAUCAAGAAAAGCAUCGAUCAUGCGAUCGAUGUUAGGCAAAGGAAAAGAGUCCUUAGGGCACGCCUUGUUUAAGUCUUUGUAAUCUACAUACAUUCUUAACGUAUUCCCCUUCUUAGGUACUACCACUACACUAGCUAAUCAAUAUGGGUACUUGACUUCCCGAAUAAAACCUAUUUUAAGGAGUUUGGAUACCUCGUCUUUAAUGACAGCAUGCUUGACUUCGGACCGAUGCCUCCUCUUUUGUUUAACCGGAUAGAAAUUCGGAUCCAAGCUUAGCUUAUAAGUGGUAAUUUAUGGAGGGAUUCCAAUCAUAUCAAGAUGGGCCAAGCGUAACAAUCUGUGUUAGCUAUAAGGAAUUCAAUGAGUUUUUUUCUGAGCUCGGGAGUUAACCCCGUGCCCAGAUAUACCUCCCGAUCGGGCAUGUGUCCUAUCAAUAUGACUUGCUCCAGUUCCUCGAAAGUUGAUUUUGUGGCAUCGGAAUCAUCAAGAGUGAUGAACAACCUAGGGACUCCGUAGUCAUCAUCCUCGACUGCCUCUUACUUUUUCGGUUCGGUCGGGCUGGUAUCGGUGAUUGCUAUUUAUUUACUUCUUUCCUAAUCGGCUUCGUGUUUUUGACGCCAAGAGCGCAGACAUCGGAAUCACUUCGUCAACCAUGAACAUUUAUUUUGCGACUGGCUGCUCUCCGUAAACCGUUUUGGUCCCUCCCAGUGUGGGGAACUUCAGCGCCUGGUGUAAUGUCGUGGGAACCGCCCUUAUGUUGUGAAUCCAUGGCCUUCUAAAAAGGAAUUAUAUCUCAUAUCCCCUUCGAUCACAUAAAACUUCAUUUCCUGAAUGGUCCCUACGGUGUUCACCGGUAGGGUUAUCUCUCCUUUAGUAGUUUUGCAUUCCAUGUUGAAUCUGUUCAAAACCUGGACUGCGGACACUAUUUGGUCUUGUAGACCCAACUACUCCACGACCCUCGAUAUGAUGAUAUUGGCCGAGCUACCUGGAUCAAUCGACACAUGUUUAAAUCGACAUUUAUUUACAAGUAUAGAUAUUACCUAUGCGUCAUUAUGUGGUUGCACGAUGUCUUCGACAUCCUCAUCGUUGAAUGAAAUGAUCCCCUCCGGGACAUAAUCUCGGGUUCAUUUUUCCCUUGUGAUAGACACCUUGGUGCACUUUAACAUUAGUCUUUGGGGGACGUCAACUUUACUGAUGAUCAUGUUGAUGCGUGCUGAGGUUCCUCUUGUUCGGUAUGUUUGUUGGGUUCCCUAUUCCUGAAGUGAUUUUUGGCUCAAUCACUCAGAAACUCUCGGAGAUGCCUGUUAUUGAAUAAUCGGGCCACUUUUUCUCUCAAUUAUCGGUAGUCCUUGGUUCUAUGGUCGUGAGUGACGUGGUACUUACACAUUAAGUUAGGGUCUCUUUGAGUAGGGUCGGACUGCAAUGGUCGAGGCCAUUUGGUAUCUUUGAUGCGGCCGAUGGCAGACACGAUGCUUGCAGCAUCGACACUGAAGUUGUAUUCCAAUAACCUUGGUGCCUCCCUGGCCCCAAGUGGCCUAUCGGAAAUGUUUUUGCUCAUGAGUCCUCGACUACUAUGGUUCCAAUCGUUCCUUUUCUCGUUUCUUGCAGGGUUACGCCCAUAUAUGUUACCCUCCGGUCCCCGUUGUACGGUUUAUACCAGUCCAUGUUUGGUCUCGGCUCAUAAUAGACAAUUCUCUUGGACCUGUCAUUGGUUCUAAUGGGAUAAACGGACCCGGAGGGGGCCCCGCUGAUCGUCUUCGAUCCUGAUUUUUGAUUGGUACUUGUUAUGGACAUCGACCCAAGUUAUCGCCAGUUAUUCUAUCAAAUUUUAUUUCAACUGUUGUGAAGCCAAGGAGCUUCGAGGUUUGAGCCCUUGGGUGAAUGCUUGAACGGCCCAAUCUUCCGCAAUCGGAGGCAGAUCUAUUCAUUCUAUUUGAAACUUCGACACGAAUACCCUGAGCAUCCCGUUAUCUCUUUAUUUUACCUUGAAAAGGUCUGAUUUUCUGGUCUCGACCUUGAUGGCCCUGACAUGUGCCUUUACGAAGGCAUCUGCAAGCAUAGCAAACAAAUCAAUAGAAUUAGAGGGUAAGUUCUGAUACCAUAUCAUUGCUCCUUUUGAUAGGGUUUCUCCGAACUUUUUCAGCAAAACUAACUCAAUUUCAUAAAACUUCUAAGUUGUUCCCUUUGAUGGCGGACGUGUAGGAGGUGACAUGUUCGUUUGGAUCCGUGGUUCUAUUAUAUUUCGGAAUUUCGGGCAUACGGAACUUCUUCAAGAUCGGCUUUGGUGCUGCACUCGGGGGGAAAGGCUUUUGGACAAAUUUCUUGGAGUCCAGCCCUUUCAAUACCGGGGGCGUUCCAGGAAUUUGAUCAACUCUAGAGUUAUAUGUCUCCACCUUUUUGUCGUUGGCCUCAAUUUUUUCCCCUGGAUUCCACCCGCUUUGUCAGUUCCUUAAUCAUCUUAAUGGUUUUGGGGUUAGUUCCAGGCCCAGCCUCUCCGUGAUAUCUGGUUGGGCAUGGACAUCGCGUCCCUUUAUUAGUCGUGUGCGGUGGUCUUCUGUAAUUUUGCAAUUGAUUUUGAAGUUGUCAAUAAAUACUUUAGCCUCGUUAUGUUUCACCUGUCACUGGCUCACCAACCAAAUAGUUUAACACUUACAAUAAGCAUUAAGGUUUAAUGGACACCGUGUAGUGUUCUCCUUGAUGUAUAUAUUCAUCGACAUGUAAGGCUAACUCCAUCUGAGUCAUCAUGUCUUGUUUGAAUAAAGCCUGAUGUUUGAGUAGCGGUAAAUUCAAAACAUAGAAUAUAUGUAUUUCUAUCAUAUUUAUUGUGUUCUAGUUUAAAUCUAUCACUACUCACUAACGCAUAAAUAUUAGCGAGUUAAAACUUGAAUAUAACAAGAAAGAAAAGACAAUUAGUUCUUUAAUUAAUUCUCUGCAUGCACCCACCCAUUUAAUGAUGUCUUGGUUGAACGCGCAGUGGCGGAUUUAGAGGGUAGCCUGCGGGUUCUGGGGAACCCAGUAACUUUUGCACGGUCCUUGUAUAUGUAUUAAAAAAUUCAUUAAAUAUCCAUAAAUAUUUGAUUGUGAACCCAAUUGGUAAUGUGAAAUCGUUGUAGAAACCAUAAACUUCAAAGUCUGAAUCCGCCUCUGCGAACGCGGUACAAAGAAUCGAACAAGGGGUAUAGCAAUGAGCAGUAGCAUCAGUAGUUAGUACUUCCCCCCUCCCUCCCAAUUUCAAUCUCAGGAGUUUAAAAAAGAAAAAAAACUUUAUUAUGGUUUAAAAAGAAUUAUAAGGGCUUGUUUUUUUCUCUCUCGGUGCAUCUUAGCUUAACCUGCACCAGCCAUGGGCAAGAGAGCUCGCAUCUCAUCCCAGAAGGCUCUAAUGGCCAAGGAAGCAUCCACAUCAUAUGAAAUUGCUCAGCGAGGGCAGAAAUCAAGCAAUGGUAGCGAGGAAUUAGCAAGGAAAACUCAGUCAAGUCUAAAACCCAAUGAAACAGUAACCCUAAAUAGUGAAACAAAGAAAUCUCAGCAGAUCGAAGCACAACGAGUAUCGUCUGAAGUGUUACAAGCUUCACCAAGUAAGGAUCAAGCAGCACCAACUAGUAGUGGCAAAAAAUCAUGGGCAAAUGAGGUUGAAGAGAAGCUGGAAACAUAGAUGAAGCAAGGAUCAAUUUGGGAUGACUUCGCCAUAGAAAAAUUUCAAAUGCUGGUUAUAAAUUGGAAUAUGUAGCACCUAAAACACAUGGUGAGUCCUCAAUAGUAGAAAUUGAAUUGGAUGAUAUUAGUUCUGAAAUUGAUUACUGGGGAAAAGAAGUAGUAUAUUAUGUGUUAGGGGCACAUCCCAUAUUCACAGUAAUACAGGGGUACAUCAAACGUUUGUGGGGGAAAUAUGGCAUGGACAUAAUCGCUAUGCUAAAAAAUGGAGUGAUAAUUGUUGGAUUUGAGACAGUGGUAGGGAAGCAAGAGGUGAUUCGGGGUGGUAUUUACCAUUUUGAUAACAAACCAUUCAUUGUAAAGGCUUGGACACCUUAAUUGGAGUUCACUAGAGAGGAAUUUCAAGCAGCUCCAAUUUUGGAUUAAGUUUCCUAGAUUGAACUUCAAAUAUUGGAGUAACAAAGGUUUGAGCAAGAUAGGCAGCUUAGUGGGAAAACCUAUUAUGGUGGACCAAAAUAUAGAAAAGAGGAAUGGAUUGAAUUUUGCAAGGUUACUAGUUGAGGUAGGAAUGAAUGCAAAGUUUCCAGAUGUAGUUCUUUUUAGGAAUAAAAGAGGCAAGUUAAUUGAACAAAAAGUCAACUAUGACUGGAAGCCAAUUCUGUGUGAUCAUUGCUCUAAAUAUGGGCAUGCAGAGGAAGUGUGUAGGAACAAGAAGAAACUAGCAAUGGCAAAUGCAGAACAACAGAAGGAGAUGAACAUUAUGGCACAAACAGAACCUAAGAGUAAGGAACAAAUUCAGGUAAACUCUGAACAAAGGAAGGAGGCAACAAGUACUAGAGCUGAUGGUAAUAGAGUGCAAAUGGUAGGGAGACAAUAAGGAAAGCAAAAUCAAGGAGAUAUUACAAGCUGGCAAACCCCAUCAAGAGUAGGAAAGCCACAACAGAAGCAGCAACAACAAGUUGAGAAUUCAAACUCUUUUCAAGUCCUGCAUAGUAAAGAGACACAUAACAAAUAAGGGAGGGAGUAGCACAAAUAUGGGAGGCCAAAACAAUCACUCCCUUGGGGAUGGUUAAUAUGUUAAAUUGGAAUGUUACGGGGCUUAAUGACCCUAAUAAGCAAAAGGGUGAAACUCAUUUGCAAUGAGGAACGAGUGGGGUUGGUUGGUCUACUAGAAACCAAGAUAAAAAGCAACAUAAUUGAGAAGCUAGCAAAUAAUAUAUUUGUGGGAUGGAAGUACCUUACAAACCUAGAGUACCAUUAUAAUGGUAGAAUUUAGAUUACUUUGAGACUUGAUUACUACAAGGUCAUUCCUAGGAGUAUGUCAGCUCAAGUAAUCAACUAUGAAGUUCAUUACAUUCCUCUUCAAAUGACAUUUGAGUUGUCUUAUGUCUAUGCUUUAAAUACUAGAAAAGAUAAGAAGGAACUAUGGGAUAAGUUAGUGUCUCAUAGCAGGAAAUGUACAAGGCUUUGGAUGGUUUUAUGGAAUUUUAACUCAGUCCUCAAAUCAGAAGACAAAAUAAGAAGAAACCCUGUGACCUGAGCAGAAGUGAAAGAUUUCCAUAACUGUAUAGUAGAAUGUGGCUUAUUGGAGUUACUAGCACAAGGCAAUAGGUACACAUGGAAUGACAAACAUGAAGAAGAUUGGUUGGUUGUUCAUAAAUAGGGAAUGACCAAAUGUAAUGCCAUCAUGUAGGGCCAUAUUUCUCCCAGAAGGAAUCAGUGACCACUGUCAUGCAAAAUUGUCACCGGUAGAGGUAAGAAGUAAGUUCAGAAAAUCAUUUUAGUUUUUGUAACAUAUGGGUUCAACAUCUACAAUUUAAUACAAUAGUAAGAGAAGGGUGGGCUGACAGUAUUGAGGGCCGCAAAAUGUAUCAAGUAGCAAAAACGUUGAAACUACUUAAGAAGAAUUUGAAGGUUUUGAAGUCACAAUAUUCUCAUGAUAUUGUGAGAGAAACAGAAGAAGAUAUGAAGUUGCUUAACAAAAGUAGGUUGAAACUCCAAAGGGAUCCUUCAAAUAAAGAGGUUCAGCAGUCUUCACAUUUGGCAGAAAUGUACCCACAACAGAGAAGUAAAGCUACAUGGAUUAAGUUAGGAGAUGAUAACACACGAUAUUUCUACUUAAUUAUAAAGCAUAGGAAGCUGAAACAAGCCACAACACAACUUAAAGAUGAUGCAGGCACAUGGCAAACUGAUCCGGGGGCUAUUGCAAACUUGUUUGUGGAUUACUAUUCUAAAAUAUUAGGAAGAAAGCCUACUUCUAGAGUGUAAGCUUUUACUAGCAUUCUAAAAAAAAUGGCCCUACUUUGUCAAAUGCUCAAUAGCUGGAGUUACUAAGGCUAGUUGUGGAUAAGGAAUUUAAAGAGGCAAUGUUCCAUAUUGACAGCAACAACAUAUUGGCAACAACAAGAGUACAGGUUCAGAUGGCUUUAGGAGUGGUUUCUAUAAAGCUGCUUGGCAUAUAGUGGGGUAGGAUAUCAUAGAGGCAGUAAUAGAAUUUUUUCACAAUGGAAAGUUCUUCAAUCAACUCAACUCAACAAUCAUAGCUCUUAUCCCAAAGGUGGACAACCCAGAAUUUGCUAGCCAAUACAGACCAAUAUCAUGUUGCAAUACUUUACAAGUGCAUUUCCAAAUUUAUAUGCAACAGACUAAAGGCAGCAGUUGAUCACUUAGUAGCAGAGAACCAGUCUGCAUUUGUACAGGGGAGGUCCAUGCUGCACAAUGUCUUAAUCUGUCAUGACAUUUUAAGACAUUAUAACUGGAAAACAACUCCAAGAUGUCUUAUGAAGAUUGAUCUCAGAAAGGCCUAUGACAUGGUGAGUUGGGAGUUCCUAGAAGAAGCUCUGAGUGAAUUUGGGUUCCCAGACAAAUUUACUCAGUGGAUUAUAGUGUGUGUGUCUACUACAAUAAUUUUAGUUGAAGUCAAUGGAGAAAGUCAUGGAUAUUUUGCUGGGAAGAGAUGGCUUAGGCAGUAUGAUUCUAUCUCUCCUCUUCUAUUUGUGCUUGUUAUGGAAUACUUAUCAAGGAUGUUGAAGACAGUUGGUAGACUUCCUAAUUUCAAAUAUCAUCCCAUGUGUAAAACACUAAAGCUGACUCAUCUCAUAUUUGCGGAUGAUCUGAUGAACUUUUGUAAAGGAAAUGAAAGCUCAGUUAAAAGGAUUGUGGAGGCAAUAAAUUACUAUAGCAAUGUAACAGGGUUGAAAUCAAAUAUGGACAAGUCUAGUAUCUUCAUAGCUGGUGUGGAUGAUAAUACUAAGAAGAAGUUGCUUGAAAUAACUGGUUUUGUGCUAGGUACUCUUCCCAUAAGAUACCUUAGACUUCCCCUCUCCCCAAAGAAAUGGAAUAAGAUUGACUGUCAUAUGCUGGUAGAGAAAAUCACUCAAAGGAUCAGAGUUACCUACUCAAGGCUUCUAUGCAGACUGCAAAUUAUUAAUGCAGUGUUGUUUUUCAUCCAUAGCUUCUGGGGCACAGUGUUCAUAUUACCUCAAAGUAUACUCAAGGAGGUUGACAGAAUAUGCAGAGAAUAUCUCUGGGAUAGCUCAGAGGAGAUAAAGAAACUAUCCUUAGUUUCUGGGAAAAGAUCUGUUAUCCUAAGAAGCUAGGAGGAUUGAAUGUUAAGAGUUGCAGAAACUGAAAUAUGGCAUCAGUGGAUAAGUUGUUAUGGCAGCUGAUUAAAUGCAAAUAAGCCUUAUGGGUGAAAUGGGUACAUCGGGUGUACAUGAGAGCAGAAACAAAUAUAUGAAACCAUCAGCCCCGAUAGAUAGUAUUUGGUGCUAAAGAAACAUUAAUGGUCUGAAAAUCAAAAUGCAGAGCUGUUAUGAGCAAAAUAAUUACAAGCUUACUAGAAUUGGUGACUACUCCAUUACCAGUAGUUAUCUUUCUCUCAUUGGUGAACAUCCUAAGUUGAAGAUAGCUAAUCUGAUAUGGACCUCAAUAGCUCAACCUAAGCAAAGGUUUAUAGUGUGGUUGGCAAUGCAUGGAAGGCUACUCACAAAGGAGAGAUUACUCAAGUUGCAAGUUCCAGUGGAGGAUAGCAGGUGUUGUUUAUGUAAUACUCACAUGACUGAAACUAACAUACACUUAUUUGUGGAGUGUACAUAGAUCACAGCUCUAAGGCAAGACGUAAAUCAAUGGAAAGACAUCAAGAUACCAGUAGGGAAUAUAACAAAGUCUUUGGAUAGUAUAAACAGGAAAUAUUGGAAGGUCUAUACGAAUGAAUUGGAAGCUGCUAUCAAUGGGGUUGUGAUUUACCACACACGGCGUGCAAGAAACUAGAAGAUUUUAAGAGGUAUUAAUGUACAUAAAGAGGAUGUAGUACAACAGAUAAAGCAGGAGAUCAUAGAAAGAAUAUAGGUUACGAGGAAUGCACAUAGAGCACGUAGAUGUAGGAAUUUAGUACAGCAAAUCCUAUGUAAUUAGAGUACAGUGUAGCUAUUUUUCUGUUUUGUUGGAGGCCAAAUUUCUGAUACAAAAAGGAGGUGCUCUUUAAUUAUAAUGAUUUUUUUUGGAGUUAAUAGUAAAUUGACAAUAAUUACCAAAAAAACUGUAAGUAUUUGUGUGACCGUAAGUUCAUUCAUAAAGAAAAGGCAUUAUUUUAAAUAAAAAUCUAACAUUAAAAAAAUAUUAUGUAAAUUGAGACAGAUUAAAUACUAUUUAUUUAUAUCCAAUUAUGUCAACAGGUUAAUAGCCUGUUUGGCCAAGCUUCUAAAAUCAGCUUAUUUUGACUUUCAAAAAAUACUUUUGGAGAGAAGCAGUUUGUGUUUGAUUACUUAAUUUAAAAAGUACUUUUAAGUAGCAAUUAGUGUUUGGCCAAACUUUAAAAAGUGCUUAUAGUGUUUUUCUUCAAAAGUGCUUUUGAAAAGAAAUUGUUUUUUUCUGCUUCUCAAAAACUGCUUCUGUUUUUUUUUAAAAUUCUUUUUUUUCCCUCCAAAAACUUGACCAAUUACCUUAAUUAAAAAAAAAAUAUUUUGGGUGAAAAGAAGUUUUGACAAACACCUUAAUUUUGAAGAAAAAAAUUGACCAAAAAAAUAGUUAUCCCGCCUAAAAAGAAACUUGGUGUUAUAUAUCUAGUCCUUUACAAAAUUGUCCCAACAGUGUACCCCAUGUGACAUGGGCUAGCCUUAUAUAUCACAGUUACACCUCUCCUCGUUAGUGUUCAAUUCAACACUUGUCAAUCUGCAUGCUUGCAGGGUUUCAAACUCAUGAAAAAUUCCCACUCUAAAUCAAAGAUCUCUUCAUCAAAACUUCCGAAUAAGCUUCCAUCGCAGUUCAAUAUUCGUAACUAUGGCAAUUUUCAGUAAACCAAAGCUCUUAUUUCUCUUCUUCUUGAUCCUCUCCAUCUUUCUUGCUUCUCAAUGUGAUGAAGCAGAGAACAAUCCCUACUUAUUUAAGUCUCAUAGGUUCAGAUCUCGAUUUACAUCAAAACAUGGUGAAUUUCGAGUCCUUGAGAAAUUCACUGAAAGAUCUGAACUUCUUGGAGGACUAGAGAAGUAUAGAGUUGCAGUCCUUGAAUUUGAACCUCUGUCUUUCAUGCUUCCUCAUCACUGUGAUGCUGAAGUCAUAUUUUUUGUUGUUAGAGGUAAGUCCCUUUUGCUUAUAUAUUUGCUCGUGGGUGGUUCAUACUAAAACGACUAAGAGAAACUCUGUGAAUUACUAACCUAGCGUUUGGCCAUAGAUUCCCAACUUUGUUUAGAAAAAUAUGAUUUGGGUGAAGUUUGGUUUGGAGAUGAAAAUGUGUUUGACAUCUGUUUUCAAAACAUAGUUCCCAAAUUUAUUUUGGAAAAACAUGAAAUAUAAUUUAUAUCCACAAGUUCUAAAAACUAUCACAAAUAUCCAACAGUACCAUUAUCAAUAACAUUCAUUAUAUUAUCGCAAAUCAUAGUUCUGAACAUAAAUAAAUUUGGUACAAAAUAAUUAUUUUUAUAGUGAACUAUAUGAUAUACUAUCAGAUGACCGAGAAGACGAAACAAUACUGCUACAAAAUAAUAAAUGGUGGGCUCUUUUAUAAAAUACAAAAGUUUGGGGCAAUUUUUAAAAAAUGUAAUAGUGAUUAUUUUGGCCCAAAACUAGCUAGUGAGCCUUCGUGUUUCGGGAUUUUGCCAAAUGUAGGCAAAAUCUAUGGCCAAAUAUAUGUUUAUCAAAUAAAAUCCAAAUUUAUUUUGACAAAAUCUAUGGUCAAACGGGUCCUAAGUAAUUGUCCUUCUUUAAUUUCUUUUCAGGAAGAGGAACCAUAAGUAUAGCAGAACAGGAUGAGCAGAACUCCUUCAACUUGGAGCAUGGAGAUGUAAUCAGAGUUAAUGCUGGUUCAACAAUCUACAUGAUCAACAGGGAUAACAAUGAAAGGUUCUUUGUUUACGUGCUAGCCA
rnacentral:lncRNA from 1 species